rnacentral:rRNA from 1 species
UACGAAGGGGGCUAGCGUUGUUCGGAAUUACUGGGCGUAAAGCGCACGUAGGCGGCUUUCUAAGUCAGGGGUGAAAUCCUGGAGCUCAACUCCAGAACUGCCUUUGAUACUGGAGAGCUUGAGUCCGGAAGAGGUGAGUGGAACUCCGAGUGUAGAGGUGAAAUUCGUAGAUAUUCGGAAGAACACCAGUGGCGAAGGCGGCUCACUGGUCCGGUACUGACGCUGAGACGCGAAAGCGUGGGGAGCAAACAGG